UACAGAGGAUGCAAGCGUUAUCCGGAAUUACUGGGCGUAAAGCGUGCGCAGGCGGUUUUGUAAGUCUGUCGUGAAAUCCCCGGGCUCAACCUGGGAAUGGCGAUGGAGACUGCAAGGCUAGAGUUUGGCAGAGGGGGGUAGAAUUCCACGUGUAGCAGUGAAAUGCGUAGAUAUGUGGAGGAACACCGAUGGCGAAGGCAGCCCCCUGGGUCAAAACUGACGCUCAUGCACGAAAGCGUGGGGAGCAAACAGG
rnacentral:rRNA from 1 species